rnacentral:rRNA from 1 species
UUGCUGGAGGUAUCAGAAGUGCGAAUGCUGACAUAAGUAACGAUAAAGCGGGUGAAAAGCCCGCUCGCCGGAAGACCAAGGGUUCCUGUCCAACGUUAAUCGGGGCAGGGUGAGUCGACCCCUAAGGCGAGGCCGAAAGGCGUAGUCGAUGGGAAACAGGUUAAUAUUCCUGUACUUGGUGUUACUGCGAAGGGGGGACGGAGAAGGCUAUGUUGGCCGGGCGACGGUUGUCCCGGUUUAAGCGUGUAGGCUGAUUUUCCAGGCAAAUCCGGAAAAUCAAGGCUGAGGCGUGAUGACGAGGCACUACGGUGCUGAAGCAACAAAUGCCCUGCUUCCAGGAAAAGCCUCUAAGCAUCAGGUAACAUCAAAUCGUACCCCAAACCGACACAGGUGGUCAGGUAGAGAAUACCAAGGCGCUUGAGAGAACUCGGGUGAAGGAACUAGGCAAAAUGGUGCCGUAACUUCGGGAGAAGGCACGCUGAUAUGUAGGUGAAGCGACUUGCUCGUGGAGCUGAAAUCAGUCGAAGAUACCAGCUGGCUGCAACUGUUUAUUAAAAACACAGCACUGUGCAAACACGAAAGUGGACGUAUACGGUGUGACGCCUGCCCGGUGCCGGAAGGUUAAUUGAUGGGGUUAGCGGUAACGCGAAGCUCUUGAUCGAAGCCCCGGUAAACGGCGGCCGUAACUAUAACGGUCCUAAGGUAGCGAAAUUCCUUGUCGGGUAAGUUCCGACCUGCACGAAUGGCGUAAUGAUGGCCAGGCUGUCUCCACCCGAGACUCAGUGAAAUUGAACUCGCUGUGAAGAUGCAGUGUACCCGCGGCAAGACGGAAAGACCCCGUGAACCUUUACUAUAGCUUGACACUGAACAUUGAGCCUUGAUGUGUAGGAUAGGUGGGAGGCUUUGAAGUGUGGACGCCAGUCUGCAUGGAGCCGACCUUGAAAUACCACCCUUUAAUGUUUGAUGUUCUAACGUUGGCCCGUUAUCCGGGUUGCGGACAGUGUCUGGUGGGUAGUUUGACUGGGGCGGUCUCCUCCUAAAGAGUAACGGAGGAGCACGAAGGUUGGCUAAUCCUGGUCGGACAUCAGGAGGUUAGUGCAAUGGCAUAAGCCAGCUUGACUGCGAGCGUGACGGCGCGAGCAGGUGCGAAAGCAGGUCAUAGUGAUCCGGUGGUUCUGAAUGGAAGGGCCAUCGCUCAACGGAUAAAAGGUACUCCGGGGAUAACAGGCUGAUACCGCCCAAGAGUUCAUAUCGACGGCGGUGUUUGGCACCUCGAUGUCGGCUCAUCACAUCCUGGGGCUGAAGUAGGUCCCAAGGGUAUGGCUGUUCGCCAUUUAAAGUGGUACGCGAGCUGGGUUUAGAACGUCGUGAGACAGUUCGGUCCCUAUCUGCCGUGGGCGCUGGAGAACUGAGGGGGGCUGCUCCUAGUACGAGAGGACCGGAGUGGACGCAUCACUGGUGUUCGGGUUGUCAUGCCAAUGGCACUGCCCGGUAGCUAAAUGCGGAAGAGAUAAGUGCUGAAAGCAUCUAAGCACGAAACUUGCCCCGAGAUGAGUUCUCCCUGACUCCUUGAGAGUCCUGAAGGAACGUUGAAGACGACGACGUUGAUAGGCCGGGUGUGUAAGCGCAGCGAUGCGUUGAGCUAACCGGUACUAAUGAACCGUGAG